UCGCCUGUUUAUCAAAAACAUUUCUUUAAGAAUUAUUAGAAAUUAAAGUAAGCCCUGCUCCAUGAUAAGUAAUACUAUUUAAUAGCCGCAGUAUACUGACUGUGCAAAGGUAGCAUAAUCAUUUGGUUUUUAAAUGAAAUCUUGUAUGAAAGGGUUAACGGGGAUAAGCUUUUUUUAAGGUAUAUUUUGAAUUUAGGAUUUUUGUUAAAAAUCAAAAAUUGAUUUAAGGGACGAUAAGACCCUAUAAAGCUUUAUUUAAUAUUAAAUUAAGGUAGUAACUUAUUUUUUUUUAAUAAUUAAAUUUUACUGGGGCGGUAGCUUAAAUUAAAACUAAGCAAUUUUAUAAUAAUUUGAUCCAUUACUAAUGAUAAUUUGAUUAAGUUACUUUAGGGAUAACAGCAUAAUUCAUUUAGGGAGUACAAAUCGAAAAAUGAGAUUAUGACCUCGAUGUUGAAUUAAAAUUUCUUUUAGGUGUAGAAGCUUAAAAAGUUAGUCUGUUCGACUAUUAAAUUUUUACAUGAUCUGAGUUCAAACCGGAGA
rnacentral:rRNA from 1 species